ensembl:lncRNA
CCACAGGAUUGUCAUCAUGGAAGGGGAGGCAGGUAGCCUAGUGGUUAGAGGGGGGCGGCAGGUAGCCUAGUGGUUAGAGGGGGGAGGCAGGUAGCCUAGUGGUUAGAGGGGGCGGCAGGUAGCCUAGUGGUUAGAGGGGGCGGCAGGUAGCCUAGUGGUUAGAGGGGGCGGCAGGUAGCCUAGUGGUUAGAGGGGGCGGCAGGUAGCCUAGUGGUUAGAGGGGGGGGGCGGCAGGUAGCCUAGUGGUUAGAGGGGGCGGCAGGUAGCCUAGUGGUUAGAGGGGGAGGCAGGUAGCCUAGUGGUUAGAGGGGGCGGAAGGUAGCCUAGUGGUUAGAGGGGGCGGCAGGUAGCCUAGUGGUUAGAGGGGCGGCAGGUAGCCUAGUGGUUAGAGGGGGAGGCAG